CCGGCGGGUGCUGGCGGUGCUGGCCUACCUCCAGACGUAGGGCUAGCCCUACCCCCGGUCGGGGGCUCGCCGGAUCGAACCCGGCCUGCCGGA
rnacentral:tRNA from 1 species